rnacentral:rRNA from 1 species
UACGGAGGGUGCAAGCGUUAAUCGGAAUUACUGGGCGUAAAGGGCGCGUAGGCGGUCUGCUAAGUUCGGUGUGAAAUCCCCUGGCUCAACUGGGGAACUGCGCUGGAAACUGGCAGACUCGAGUACCGGAGAGGAGAGUGGAAUUCCUGGUGUAGCGGUGAAAUGCGUAGAUAUCAGGAGGAACACCGGUGGCGAAAGCGGCGCACUGGACCACAACUGACGCUGAGGCGCGAAAGCUAGGGGAGCAAACAGG